AACCCUUCAGCUAGCUUUAUAAAA
rnacentral:rRNA from 1 species